ACUGCUUAAUACACAGUACAUUAGGAGAACUGUGUGUAUACCCUACAGUCGUGUCUACGAUGAAAACCCCACUCUGGCGUCUUUUAUCUCUUCUCUCGCAGCCUAACUCUCACACAGCCGUGAUGAAUGGAUGGGAAGAGGGAGGGAGUAGGAGAGAGAACAGAAAGAAGAUUUGAAAGGAAGAGUGAGGGAAAAGAGAAGUCACUGAGGGAUAGAGUUACCAGGGAGAACAGGGGAACAGGGAGAUAAUGGCACCAUGUCAGCAAGUUCUGGAGCUGCAGGGGCCAGACGACGAUAGAGGUAGAUAGGAUGGGAAGUCACGCGAAUCUCACCUGAUGCCUGCCAGCUAUGUAUGUUCUGCCUGCCAAGGCUGCUGUGUUUGUUUGUCUGAUCCCGCCUGCCUGUCACCAAAUAAAAGUGUUCCCC